CCUGAGUUAAUUCAGACUAUAAAAGAACCAUGAACAGACCAUAAACACCAUCAUCUACAGCUGAGCAACAUCUUUAGUCCUACCACUGUGAUUUUCAUCAAGAUUACCAACAUCUUCAGAUCUAUUAGUGGAUUUACAAUCUAAUUUCAGUGCUGACUGUCAAGAGUUUGAGACCAUGGCACAAAACAACAUUAGCACCUUACAUUCAGGUUGGCUAUCUAAGGACUCUGUGGCAUUACAUCUGUCACACAGAAAGCAUUUGAAAAAUCAUAUUUUUGCAGAAAAAGUAUUUAUCUGGACUCUUUCAGUUAUUGAAGUUCCAGUCAUGCUCUUAACUUUGCUUGCAUUGUGUUUUCUCAUCAAAUCUCGGCAUGUUGCUUCAGUUUAUGUGAUUCAUUUGAUUCUUUCAGAUCUCAUACAAAUUAUUUGUAUGAUUUCGUAUACAAUACAAAAUAACUCUGUGGUGUCAAAUGCAUAUGAUUAUUCUUUAAUUGCUAGUUUGUAUUUUAUGGCAUGUAUUGCUCUUGAGCGAUAUCUUUUGGUUUGCCAUCCACUCUGGUACAGAACUCAUCAUUCAUUAAAACUCUCCUGUUUGGUUUCUAUGAUCAUCUGGUUCGUGCCUCUGAUCUUUGCUGACAUACGUCAUGAUUUGUAUUUUGAUUAUCUUCUGCGUGAAGCUAUAGCAUUUUUGAUCCCCUACCCAAUAAUCAUUCUCUGUUUUGUUGGUACUUGGAGGGGUCUCUCUCGCUCAAUAUCAAUCACUUCUCAUAAGCGCAGCUUAAUUUUGGGCAGCUUGUUUCUGGUGCUGCUGUCUUACACAUUUGUCAUCCUGCCUCAUCCAAUUGUGGAUUUUUUCAGAACGUUUAAUGACAAGAAAUCUUUAACAAAAAACGAAUUAACAUUUCAGAAAGUCUAUUUGUUUCUAGACCUUCUUCUGUAUCUGAACCCUCUUGCUGACUGUUUAUUGUAUUUGUUCAUGAGAAGUGAUGUUGGUGACAUAAUAAAGUCUCUUCAGUGCUGUUGUAAAUCUGACUCACAUCAGAAUUCAGUACGAUACACAACCAGAACAAACGCUUAGCAGUAGACUAACAGAUGUGUGAAGUGUUUUGAUGUUGUUUAUGAUAGACUUUUUCGGUACCUUUCUGUCUAUUGAACGUUCAGAUCACCACUAUGUUAUUCUGACUUUAACCAUUUAAGUUAUG